GAGCAGCAAAAGAACAAGCACAUCAAGAAAAGCUAAAAUCAGCCAUAUCUGACCAUUGCAGAAGAGAAAACCACACUAUGGACUGGAACAGCACCAGGGUCAUCUGUGCUGAAAGCAAUAAAUACCAUCGCUGGAGCAGGGAGGAAACCGAG